UACAGAGGUCCCGAGCGUUGUUCGGAUUCACUGGGCGUAAAGGGUGCGUAGGUGGUGAGGUAAGUCGGAUGUGAAAUCUCCGGGCUCAACCCGGAAAUGGCAUUGGAAACUACCUUGCUAGAGGAUUUGAGGGGGGAUUGGAAUACUUGGUGUAGCAGUGAAAUGCGUAGAUAUCAAGUGGAACACCAGUGGCGAAGGCGGGCACCUGGACGGUAACUGACGCUGAGACGCGAAAGCGUGGGGAGCAAACAGG
rnacentral:rRNA from 1 species